rnacentral:rRNA from 1 species
UACGUAGGGUCCGAGCGUUGUCCGGAAUUACUGGGCGUAAAGAGCUCGUAGGUGGUUUGUCGCGUUGUUCGUGAAAACUCACAGCUUAACUGUGGGCGUGCGGGCGAUACGGGCAGACUGGAGUACUGCAGGGGAGACUGGAAUUCCUGGUGUAGCGGUGGAAGUGCGCAGAUAUCAGGAGGAACACCGGUGGCGAAGGCGGGUCUCUGGGCAGUAACUGACGCUGAGGAGCGAAAGCGUGGGGAGCGAACAGG